AAAUGAAAUUUUCUAAAUUGUAAACAUCUUCACAAACUGCUACCGACCAAAUAAUGACCCACUCUUACAGAAAUUUAAACGAUACCUAUCUAUUUUUUUAAUUGCUCAAACAAAUUAUUUAUCCACAACCUCAUUUUUAUUUGGAAGAAAAUGAAAGAUACAAUAGAAUUUUGAGUAUAUGAGACUAAAAUCAAUGUAAAUAAUUCCCGGAAAGCAAUGAUUAAAGAGCAUGCAAAUAUAGAGACUUUUUUCUUGCAAUAUAAGCCAUAUUGAUAUUUAUUUCCAUGCUUAUUUGUUUAGGAUUCUAACUGUUAUGCGAAAUCAAAGUCCAACUUUUCAUUUUUAUUUGACAUUAUCUUGAUGGACGAUAGCUUGCUUAAAUCGCUUAUUUUCAUUUCCAUGUGUUACUUAAACAUAAACUUCACGUUCAAUACGAUGGUGAGGAUUAACAUCAAGUACAAGCUUAUUUAUACUAGUAAUUCGUUUGUUGUAUAAACGAAGUAUGAAGAAGUACGAAAAAGGCGCGAUUCAGCUCAAAAGUGAGUUUUGGGCUUCCUUUCUUUAUUAACAUUAUGAAAUCGACUUUUACCGAACGGGCAUUGCAAAUGUGAUACGAAUAAAACCGAAUACCUCGUUGGUUCAUGAUACAGUUGAAAUGAUUUUGGAACCCUUAUCAGUCAAGAUGUAAAGGAUGAGUUCGAUAGAUAAAAUAUCUCAAGGUUUUACAACAGGGGAGAAAACCAUUUUCAAAAUUUCCCUCUAAUGACUCCUACCGCUGAUGCACUCUUUUUGAAUGGUUUAUCUUAGUAAAAUUUAAAUUCACUAACAGCUAUGGAACUGUAUCUAUUAACGUAGAUACCGAUUAUUUAGAGAUUAAAAUGUUGUAGAGCUAUUUCCCAAAUAUAACUUUACACAGGAUAGUUAUUCUGAAUUUUAGAUCGUUACAAAGUGCUUUUUUAAUCGUUUUCUGUAUCUAAGUUCCUAAAGGUUCAAUACAUCGAAUAUGAAUUUAUUCAAGCUGUUGAAUGUUACUGUAACCACAAGGAUCUUAGCUCAUUGUAAUAUGAGAGUUAGCGGAGAUGUGCUUAUAUUCAAUAUGUUAUCAGUCAAUGAGGAUGAAUACGGACUAGCAAACCAAAGUUGCUUCCUUUUGAUAAAACGUGUAUUUUUGCUAUAGAAGCACUAAUCAAUUACAGAAGCAGACCCUUAUCCUGCCACUCACUACUCUCUUAACCAAGUCGUCAGAGGUGGUGACUUCGAAUAGCCCCAUUGGUAAUAAUGCGAACACAUAUUAUAUUAAGCUACAACAGAGAAGAGCUACUACUGACUAUAAAAGCGAAAAAGUGAUGUAUAAAUAUCAUAAUAAGGACAAGUAAAAAACAAUCUUCUACUAAGAGAAGAUAAAGCAGCAAAAGAUAUAGAAAUACAGACUCCUUAAAAUGUGUGAUACUUGUGUGGCACGUGUCCUUUUGACCACAAGCCAAUCACUUUUUGAAGCCGUUCUUUCAACUUGACAGUCUCAAGAGGACUAAAUUUAUAAAACACCAUACCCAUGAAGAUACUGAAUACACUGUUCCCUUGUCAAAUUAUCAAUGUCUUCGAAGCUUGCAAGCGGUGGGAGUUCAUAGUCUCUAGGUUCAUCUCCGUUAAGGAAUGGUACUGGAACAGCCGAAUAAUGCAUAUUUGAACGGACCAUAUUUUCAUAUUUUUUUGUUAGCAUCAUCGACUUGCAAGAACGAUCAUCAAUUUUUUGCAUCGUUUGAGCCAUAUUAUUAAAUCUUUCUUCAGUUUUUUGAUCCAAAAGAUCGAUUUUUCUAUCUAAUUGAGAUAUAGAACCUUUGAUGGCAGUUAAUUCGUUCUUAAAAGUAGUUGCUUUACCUUUGAUGGAAGCAAUGUCAUUUUUCAUGACAGUCAUCUCAUUGUACAUAGCGUCAAACCUAGAAUUCAUGUCAUUCUGCGUUGAGUUAUUUUAGAAAAUAUUCGCUCGAAAAUUCCUCCUAGUUUAGUAUUUGCCCAUUCGUCUAUCCAGCGUGGAAACUGUAAUUCUCCCAAUGGUUCCUCCGGAACUUCCCUUUCUAUCGCCAAUCUCUUCCAAUUUCGCAACUUUUGAUCACAUUCAGUUUCAAAUCUAUUUAAUGUUCCUUUGCUUGACGAAAAUUUUUCAAUCGUUUCCUGAUUAUUCUCACCGAAUUCUAGUAAAGCAGAAUUUAGAGAUCUUUCGAAUUUCUUGAUAAACGGUUGCAAGUCUUCUGCUGAAUCAUCUGGUGGAGGUAAGUCGAAACCAUUUUCAAAAUUCUCGUUUGACGUCGAUUUUUAAUCAAUAAUGAGCGUAGUCAUUUUUUAGAAAGAUAUAGUGUGUUGUUCUAGUAAAUGUUAACGCUGUUUAUUAAAAGUUGGUAGAGUGUUUUAAACGUGUUGUUCAAUAUGUAUCCAGGAUCAAGAACACCAGAUAAAAAUACAAUUACAAAGUUACACCAGUUUAU